rnacentral:pre_miRNA from 1 species
AAUAUACUCCUUCCUAUCCAUAUUAGUUGUCGCUCAAACGGAUGUACCUAGACGUAUUUUAGUGCUAAAUACAUCCAUUUGUGUGACAAUUAAUAUGGAUUGGAGGGAGUAUUAU